rnacentral:rRNA from 1 species
AACAGGAUUAGAUACCCUGGUAGUCCACGCCGUAAACGAUGUCGACUUGGAGGUUGUGCCCUUGAGGCGUGGCUUCCGGAGCUAACGCGUUAAGUCGACCGCCUGGGGAGUACGGCCGCAAGGUUAAAACUCAAAUGAAUUGACGGGGGCCCGCACAAGCGGUGGAGCAUGUGGUUUAACUCGAUGCAACGCGAAGAACCUUACCUACUCUUGACAUCCAGAGAACUUAGCAGAGAUGCUUUGGUGCCUUCGGGAACUCUGAGACAGGUGCUGCAUGGCUGUCGUCAGCUCGUGUUGUGAAAUGUUGGGUUAAGUCCCGCAACGAGCGCAACCCUUAUCCUUUGUUGCCAGCGGUUAGGCCGGGAACUCAAAGGAGACUGCCAGUGAUAAACUGGAGGAAGGUGGGGAUGACGUCAAGUCAUCAUGGCCCUUACGAGUAGGGCUACACACGUGCUACAAUGGCAUAUACAAAGAGAAGCGACCUCGCGAGAGCAAGCGGACCUCAUAAAGUAUGUCGUAGUCCGGAUUGGAGUCUGCAACUCGGCUCCAUGAAGUCGGAAUCGCUAGUAAUCGUGGAUCAGAAUGCCACGGUGAAUACGUUCCCGGGCCUUGUACACACCGCCCGUCACACCAUGGGAGUGGGUUGCAAAAGAAGUAGGUAGCUUAACCUUCGGGAGGGCGCUUACCACUUUGUGAUUCAUGACUGGGGUGAAGUCGUAACAAGGUAACC